GAUCCUUCACGCUGCGCAGUGUAACCGCCAGAGGGCACCACGGCCCUUAAAGUCCUCAGCUAGGAGGGCGCCCCCAUCGGCCUGGCGGUGUCGCGUGGUGGGCUCCCUCCGCUCCUACCCUUCUCCUUGCACGUGCCUCUGCUCCUGACUUCGCGUGCCACGGUGCCAGGAGGCCAGUCAGACUGAGGAUGGAACCCAGGCAUGUGCUACUACAGAGAUACAUCCACAGUCCUUAUAAUUUUUGGAGACAGGUCUUGUUAAGUUGCCCAAGUGGGACUCCAAUUUGUGAGCCUCCUGCCUCACCCUCCCUCAGUUCUGGGAUUACAGCCCAGCGUACCUGCUCCACUCGCCUGAAGACCCGAAGCAGGUUUCCUCAAAGCACACCUUGAAGCUCCUCCUCACUCCAGCCCCGACUCAGCAGCUCCUCUAUCAGCACAGGCUUCUCAAGAUUCUGCUCUGAAUCCUGAUGCUGCAAGAGCAGUGCAUGAGGACUUGGAGAUUCAAGAAGACCCUCUAAAAAGGAAAUGAGCAAACAUUUCCAAAGAGACUGGAGGUUCCAAGCUCCUCAGAAGGAAGGAUUCCCAGCUUGGAUGUAUUUAGGAACUGUGCAUUUGUUAUUGCCUAGUACCUGCUCUCCAGGAGGAAGGCAAAUCAACAGAACUGUGCUAGAGGUGGGUCAACUCCUUGCCUACUGCAGUUGGAGGAUUCUUUAAGUAGGUACUGCAGAGAGUGAGUGCCCUAGGAAUCCACUUCAGAUGACACCAGGCUGUGUCCCAGCCCUGGGUGGUUUUGCACUCCAACGUAGACCUGGCUCUCUUCCUUUGCACAACUGGUCAGCAACUCGCACCCUGUCUUAUGCUUCUGAGUGACAAGAAGGAGGAGAAAUUCUUGGAUUUGCUAGUUUCUAGGUUAAAGAUGUGGGUUUGGGGGUAAACAGCAUGUCUGUUCCACUCCUGAUAGCCUGCAGGAAUUGGGGGUACAAGGAACAGGGAAGAGAUAGACAGGAAUAAACAAAUAGUAGCUGUUGAUAGAGGAGUCGGUGGGAGAAUUUAGUUUUUGUUUUUUUGAGGUUUUUAAGCUUUUCUUCAGGGCCUGAAUGUCUGAUAUCUCAGGACUUGGGGAAAACUCUAGCCUGAUAGAGAGAUGGGCUAUGCUGAGUCACUGUCUCUGUAGAAGAUUAGUUGUAAGCUGUGUGUGGUGGUACAUGCUGGUAAUCCCAGCUUCUUGGGAGGCUGAGGCAGGAGAAUUGCAAGUUCAAGGCCAGCCUGAGCAACAUAGAGACUCUAUCUCAAAAUCAAGUUAAAAGAGCUGACUGGGGAUAUAGCUCAUUGGCACCACACCCACCUGCCUGGCAAGCUCAAGGUCCUGAGUUCGAUGCCUGGUACCACACACACACACACACACACACACAAAGUUAAAAGGACUGGGGAUGUAAGUCAGUGGUAGAGUUCUUGUCUAGUAUGAGUGAAGCCUUGCGUUCAAUUCCCAGUGCCAUAAGAAAAAAAACCACAAAAUGAUUAGUGGCAAAAUAUAAUUUUCCAUAACAUCCAACUUCAGUCAAACAUUGGCCUUGAGGUAACCAUACAAAACCAAUCAUAGAAAUCAAACAUACCCAGACUCAGGGGCAUCUAAACACUCAUGCCAAAGUGGUAAGCAGGUUUUAGCCAACAAGGUGGAUUAUCUGUCCUUAACCUCGCCAUUUACAGGGAAAUGUGCCCUACCAUUUACAGGGAAAAGGAUUACAUUAAUGAAGUCUUGUCUUAGGCUUCCUUCCCCAUCUCAUAGUCUGAGGGCAGAGGCUACAACAUGCUGGCAGUGGGCAGGUUUGGAAGCAAGGUAGAGGCAGAGAACCUCAGGGCCUCACUCCAGAUCUGACCCUAAGUGUUGUCUCCAAUACCUCCUCAUUCCGCACCCUGCUCCCCAUCAUGGCAUUUCCAAUUUCUGCUGGCUCAACCUUAAAACAUCUCUUGUGUCUCCUCUCUGUUCCUUCUGGCUCAUCCCCAGUAACCUUUCCCCACAGAGAAGCCCCCCCCCCCCGCUUUCUUUUAGUGGUACUAGGGAUUGAAUUCAGGGCCUUCACACAGAGUUAUAUUCCCACAUGGACAAACACCCUCUCACACCAUUUUUUGAGGCAGGGUCUUGUUAAGUUGCCCAUGCUGGGCUAAACUUGCAAUUCUCCUGCUUCAGCCUCUUAGAGUGCUGGGAUUACAGGUGUGCUCCACCAA